GAGAAGAGCUAGGGUUUUAGUUUCAGUAGUAUAACUCAGAACGACUCUCUUCUCUUCUCUUCUCUGCAAAGAAAAAAUAAAAGAAAGAAAGACGAGGCAAGGAUGUUUCCGGGAAUGUUCGCUCGGAAACCGGACAAAGAAGUGGCUCUGAAGCAGCUUCGCAGCCACGUAGCCAUGUUCGGUGUUUGGGUCACCGUGGUUCGGAUCACCCCUUACGUUCUCCACUACUUCUCUGAUCGCAAUGAACAACUCAACCUCGACUUCUAAUCCUCCUCCUCCUCCUUCUUCACAUCUCACUCUUUUCGAUUGGGCGGGCCUGUGGGGAGGGAAUACUGGAUGGAGAGAGAUUAGUUUUCUCUUUUAUUUUGAAUCAAUAAUCGUGAGGCAAACAUGUACUAGUGUUGGGCGUGCCUGUAGGGAGGGAAUGCUGGGAUGGAGAGAUCAGUUUUCUCUUUUGAACCAGUAAUUGUGAGGCAAACAUGUACUAGUGGUAAAGCUUACGUGUUACUUUAAAUUUCACGGCAUUAGAAGAUAGAAUUCAGGUUCACCUUUUCUUAUGUUUGUUACUGUGGCAUUUUGAAUGUGCCUUGUGCUAGUAGUGGUGCUCAGUUAUUGGGUAAUACGGGUGUUCGGUGAAAAUUAUUUUAAACUAAAAGUUACUGAUUAAAAAGUAAAAGUUAAAAGUA